ensembl:misc_RNA Y_RNA Y RNA
GGCUGGUCCGAUGGCAGUGGGUUAUCAGAACUUAUUAACAUUAGUGUCACUAAAGUUGGUAUACCACCCCCCCCUGCCCCACUGCUAAAUUUGACUGCUUAAA